ACGGAAGGCAGCAGUGGGGGGUAUUGCACAAUGGGCGAAAGCCUGAUGCAGCGACGCCGCGUGAGGGAAGACGGUUUUCGGAUUGUAAACCUCUUUCUUCGGGGACGAAAAAGGACGGUACCCGAGGAGGAAGCCACGGCUAACUACGUGCCAGCAGCCGCGGUAAUACGUAGGUGGCAAGCGUUGUCCGGAAUUACUGGGUGUAAAGGGAGCGUAGGCGGGAUUGCAAGUCCGUUGUUAAAUCUAUCGGCUCAACCGAUGGCUGCGGCGGAAACUGUAGUUCUUGAGUGAAGUAGAGGCAGGCGGAAUUCCUAGUGUAGCGGUGAAAUGCGUAGAUAUUAGGAGGAACACCAGUGGCGAAGGCGGCCUGCUGGGCUUUAACUGACGCUGAGGCUCGAAAGUGUGGGGAGCAAACAGGAUUAGAUACCCUGGUA
rnacentral:rRNA from 1 species